rnacentral:rRNA from 1 species
UACGGAGGGGGCAAGCGUUGUUCGGAAUCACUGGGUGUAAAGGGUGCGUAGGCGGUCCGUUAAGUCUGAUGUGAAAGCCCUGGGCUCAACUCAGGAAUUGCAUUGGAAACUGGCGGGCUGGAGUACGGGAGAGGGAAGCGGAAUUCCUGGUGUAGCGGUGAAAUGCGUAGAUACCAGGAGGAACACCGGUGGCGAAGGCGGUUUCCUGGCCCAGUACUGACGCUGAGGCACGGAAAGCGUGGGGAGCGAACGGG